rnacentral:rRNA from 1 species
CCUACGGGAGGCAGCAGUGAGGAAUAUUGGUCAAUGGUCGGGAGACUGAACCAGCCAAGCCGCGUGAGGGAGGAAGGUACAGAGUAUCGUAAACCUCUUUUGUCAGGGAACAAAGACUGGGACGCGUCCCCGGUUGAGUGUACCCGAAGAAUAAGCAUCGGCUAACUCCGUGCCAGCAGCCGCGGUAAUACGGAGGAUGCGAGCGUUAUCCGGAUUUAUUGGGUUAAAGGGGUGCGAGGGCGGUCGGUUAGGGAAGCGGUAAAAGCCCGGGGCGAAACCCCGGCCCGCCGUUGAAACUGGCAGUCUCGAGUUGGAGAGAAGUAUGCGGAAUGCGCGGUGUAGCGGUGAAAUGCAUAGAUAUCGCGCAGAACUCCGAUUGCGAAGGCAGCAUGCCGGCUCCACACUGACGCUGAGGCACGAAAGCGUGGGUAUCGAACAGGAUUAGAUACCCGGGUAGUC